rnacentral:rRNA from 1 species
CCUACGGGUGGCAGCAGUGGGGAAUAUUGCACAAUGGGGGAAACCCUGAUGCAGCGACGCCGCGUGAGUGAAGAAGUAUUUAGGUAUGUAAAGCUCUGUCAGCAGGGAAGAAAAUGACUGUACCUGACCACGAAGCCCCGGCUAACUACGUGCCAGCAUCCGCGGUAAUACGUAGGGCGCAAGCGGUAUCCGGAUUUAAGGGGUGUAAAGGGGGCGUAAACGGAAGUGCAAGUCUGGAGGGAAAGGCGGGGGCUCAACCCCCGGACUGCUCUGGAAACUGCCAGGCUGGAGUGCAGGAGAGGUAAGUGGAAUUCGUAGUGUAGCGGUGAAAUGCGUAGAUAUUAGGAGGAACACCAGUGGCGAAGGCGGCAUACUGGACUGUAACUGACGUUGAGGCUCGAAAGCGUGGGGAGCAAACAGGAUUAGAUACCCCAGUAGUC